rnacentral:rRNA from 1 species
CAGCAUGGUGUAGCAAUACACUGAUGGCGACCGGCAAACGGGUGCGGAACACGUACGCAACCUUCCUUUAACUGGAGAAUAGCCCGGGGAAACCCGGAUUAAUACUCCGUAACAUUAUGAGGUGGCAUCACUUUAUAAUUAUAGCUCCGGCGGUUGAAGAUGGGCGUGCGUCUGAUUAGGUAGUUGGCGGGGUAACGGCCCACCAAGCCUACGAUCAGUAACUGGUGUGAGAGCACGACCAGUCACACGGGCACUGAGACACGGGCCCGACUCCUACGGGAGGCAGCAGUAAGGAAUAUUGGUCAAUGGACGCAAAUCUGAACCAGCCAUGCCGCGUGGAGGAUGAAGGUCCUCUGGAUUGUAAACUUCUUUUAUUUGGGAAGAAACCCCCGAUUUCUAUUGGGGUUGACGGUACCAGAUGAAUAAGCACCGGCUAACUCCGUGCCAGCAGCCGCGGUAAUACGGAGGGUGCAAGCGUUAUCCGGAUUCACUGGGUUUAAAGGGUGCGUAGGCGGGUUGGUAAGUCCGUGGUGAAAUCUCCAAGCUUAACUUGGAAACUGCCGUGGAUACUAUCAAUCUUGAAUAUAGUGGAGGUGAGCGGAAUAUGUCAUGUAGCGGUGAAAUGCUUAGAUAUGACAUAGAACACCCAUUGCGAAGGCAGCUCGCUACACUAUUAUUGACGCUGAGGCACGAAAGCGUGGGGAUCAAACAGGAUUAGAUACCCUGGUAGUCCACGCCCUAAACGAUGAUUACUCGACAUCAGCGAUACACUGUUGGUGUCUGAGCG